rnacentral:rRNA from 1 species
UGGGGAAUAUUGGACAAUGGGGGCAACCCUGAUCCAGCGAUGCCGCGUGAGUGAAGAAGGCCUUCGGGUCGUAAAGCUCUUUAGGUUGGGAAGAAGUUUGGUGGCGGACAAUGCCAUUAGAUUGACGGUACCGACAGAAUAAGCACCGGCAAACUCUGUGCCAGCAGCCGCGGUAAUACAGAGGGUGCAAGCGUUAAUCGGAUUUACUGGGCGUAAAGGGCGCGUAGGCGGUUGUAUGUGUGUGAUGUGAAAGCCCCGGGCUUAACCUGGGAAGUGCAUCGCCGACUAUACAACUGGAGUAUAUGAGAGGGUGGCGGAAUUUCCGGUGUAGCGGUGAAAUGCGUAGAGAUCGGAAGGAACGUCGAUGGCGAAGGCAGCCACCUGGCAUAAUACUGACGCUGAGGCGCGAAAGCGUGGGGAGCGAACA